rnacentral:rRNA from 1 species
GAUGAACGCUAGCGGCAGGCUUAACACAUGCAAGUCGAGGGGUAUAGUAGCAAUACUAGAGACCGGCGCACGGGUGCGUAACGCGUAUGCAACCUACCUUUUACAGAGGGAUAGCCCCAGAGAAAUUUGGAUUAAUACCUCAUAGUGUUAUUAGAUGGCAUCAUUUGAUAACUAAAGUUCCAACGGUAAAAGAUGGGCAUGCGUCCUAUUAGCUAGAUGGUAAGGUAACGGCUUACCAUGGCUACGAUAGGUAGGGGUCCUGAGAGGGAGAUCCCCCCACACUGGUACUGAGACACGGCCCAGACUCCUACGGGAGGCAGCAGUGGGGAAUAUGGACAAUGGGCGAAAGCCUGAUCCAGCAAUGCCGCGUGAGUGAUGAAGGCCUUGGUCGU